rnacentral:rRNA from 1 species
AGUCCGCAACUCGACUGCACGAAGCUGGAAUCGCUAGUAAUCGCGGAUCAGCACGCCGCGGUGAAUACGUUCCCGGGCCUUGUACACACCGCCCGUCACACCAUGGAAGUCUGCAAUGCCCGAAGCCGGUGGCCUAACCACUUAUGUGGAAGGAGCCGUCUAAGGCAGGGCAGAUGACUGGGGUGAAGUCGUAACAAGGUAGC